rnacentral:misc_RNA from 1 species
GUAUCUUCAAGCUUUGCUUGGUGUUGGGUGUUUGUCCUGCUCUAUGCGUGGACUCGCCUUAAAUCAAUUGGCAGCCGGUAAUCUGGUGGUAAGAGCGCAGCACAUUGUGCGCUCCUCGCUGUGUAUUGCGGCGUCCAUUAAGCCUAUAUUUUUUGC